GAGAAUAAAAUUUACAGUGUCAAUUAAAUGUCUAGUAGUGUUUCUUAAUAUGCUAAUGGCAGAGUACAUUUAAAAAGAAGUAUAACUUACAUCCUCAGC